UGGGGAAUUUUGCACAAUGGGGGAAACCCUGAUGCAGCGACGCCGCGUGAUUUAGAAGGCCUUCGGGUUGUAAAAAUCUUUUGUAUGGGAAGAUAAUGACAGUACCAUAGGAAUAAGGACCGGCUAAUUACGUGCCAGCAGCCGCGGUAAUACGUAAGGUCCGAGCGUUGUCCGGAAUCAUUGGGCGUAAAGGGUACGUAGGCGGGUAAGCAAGUUAGAAGUGAAAUCCUGUAGCUCAACUACAGUAAGCUUUUAAAACUGCUCAUCUUGAGAUAUGGAAGGGAAAGUGGAAUUCCUAGUGUAGCGGUGAAAUGCGCAGAUAUUAGGAGGAAUACCGGUGGCGAAGGCGACUUUCUGGCCAUAAUCUGACGCUGAGGUACGAAAGCGUGGGUAGCAAACAGG
rnacentral:rRNA from 1 species